rnacentral:rRNA from 1 species
GAUGAACGCUGGCGGCGUGCCUAAUACAUGCAAGUCGAGCGAACGGACGAGAAGCUUGCUUCUCUGAUGUUAGCGGCGGACGGGUGAGUAACACGUGGAUAACCUACCUAUAAGACUGGGAUAACUUCGGGAAACCGGAGCUAAUACCGGAUGAUAUUUUGAACCGCAUGGUUCAAAAGUGAAAGACGGUCUUGCUGUCACUUAUAGAUGGAUCCGCGCUGCAUUAGCUAGUUGGUAAGGUAAUGGCUUACCAAGGCAACGAUGCAUAGCCGACCUGAGAGGGUGGUCGGCCACACUGGAACUGAGACACGGUCCAGGCUCCUACGGGAGGCAGCAGUAGGGAAUCUUCCGCAAUGGGCGAAAGCCUGACGGAGCAACGCCGCGUGAGUGAUGAAGGUCUGCGGAUCGUAAAACUCUGUUAUUAGGGAAGAACAUAUGUGUAAGUAACUGUGCACAUCUGGACGGUACCUAAUCAGAAAGCCACGGCUAACUACGU